UGCAAGUGCGCAUCAAUUGUAUUGACAGCUGUCUCUCGGUUGAUCCCGACGGUGUGUCUCGUUUCGCUUUGCUAUUUUUUUCUUCGCCACCGCAUUGCAAUCUCACGUUAGUAUCGUUGGAGUUUCAUCUCGCGCAGCGAUUUCACGGGAAAUCACGGAACUAGUUCGGAGUUUGCGAAUUUGUCAAUUGAUGAAGAUUUGUUGAUAACGUCGACAACAACGUCGACCACGGGUAGAGAGGAAAGAUACGCGCAUUUGAAGGACGAUCCAAGAGCGAUAGUCCAGUAUGAUAUGCACUGCAGAGGAGAAACGAAACCUUGGACGAAGUGCGCGUGUGCGACACGAGUGCCCGCGGUUUUGCCGCCUGCUUUAAUUGUUGCGCUAUUACUUAUCUUUUGCCGGCUUGCACCUUCGUGCUUAUAGAUCAUAUCUGCAUGGUACAAAAAAAUAAAAAGAUUAUUUGAAGGACAGCAUAAUAUUCAGAGAUAUAUAUAUAUAAUAUGUGUGCGUGUAUAUAUAGAUAUAUGCACGUAUCUUUCUUGUAAGAGAAUAAAGCAGAGAAAAAAGGUGCGCAAGGAGGUACGAGAAUACGAGAAAGCGUACGAGAAAGGUGAAAAAGAGGAAAGAAUUGUCCAUUUCCGGAGGUGGAGACUUCCUGCCGCGCUUUUCCCUUCCUUCUCUUAAUUUCCUCCUGCUCCCGUUGCUCGUAUUGCGUAUACGAUUGUGAAGUGCCCUCGCAACGUGAGUGCAUCGCAAAGACCACAUAACGAAGUUAAGCGGCGCCACGAUAAAACGUUUACUCGAUGUAUGUAUGAUUUACCCAGGGUGCUGCGGAUAAAUUACGCGAGGAGAAUUCCGCAUGCGAGAUACAAAAACGGAAUAAAGGGAUUCUUCUCGAUCAAGUGCGCCGCGCCAAGCCGCACCGGCGGAUCUCGCGUGAUUACUAGAUACAGUGUUGCUCGCGUGUGACGAGAGCCAGUGGACCCUCACGCGAGCACCGUCAAUUUAUCCAAAGCCUUCAUUAUACGGAACAGCAAGUGAGGGCCAGCGAAAGGGAGAAAGAAAGACAGAUGACAGGAAAAUAGAGUCAUGGAUAUCUGGAUGGCGAUACAAAGGAUUUGCAAUUCUACAUAUAAAGUAAUGGAUAACAAUUAUCGCCGUUAUCUCAUUUGAGCGAGACCAGAUACGUUCGAAUCUGUUUCUUCGAUCUCAAUAAGAAAGCCGAUCACGAUUAUUGUGACAAGGAAACAGGAGAUCGGCUUUUCAUCCAUUAAUAUU